rnacentral:rRNA from 1 species
UACAGGGGGUGCAAACGUUGCUCGGAAUCAUUGGGCGUAAAGCGCACGUAGGCGGCUUUCUAAGUCAGGGGUGAAAUCCUGGAGCUCAACUCCAGAACUGCCUUUGAUACUGGAGAGCUUGAGUCCGGGAGAGGUGAGUGGAACUCCGAGUGUAGAGGUGAAAUUCGUAGAUAUUCGGAAGAACACCAGUGGCGAAGGCGGCUCACUGGCCCGGUACUGACGCUGAGGUGCGAAAGCGUGGGGAGCAAACAGG